GAUGAACGCUGGCGGCGUGCCUAAUACAUGCAAGUCGAGCGAACAGACGAGGAGCUUGCUCCUCUGACGUUAGCGGCGGACGGGUGAGUAACACGUGGAUAACCUACCUAUAAGACUGGGAUAACUUCGGGAAACCGGAGCUAAUACCGGAUAAUAUAUUGAACCGCAUGGUUCAAUAGUGAAAGACGGUUUUGCUGUCACUUAUAGAUGGAUCCGCGCCGCAUUAGCUAGUUGGUAAGGUAACGGCUUACCAAGGCAACGAUGCGUAGCCGACCUGAGAGGGUGAUCGGCCACACUGGAACUGAGACACGGUCCAGACUCCUACGGGAGGCAGCAGUAGGGAAUCUUCCGCAAUGGGCGAAAGCCUGACGGAGCAACGCCGCGUGAGUGAUGAAGGUCUUCGGACCGUAAACCUCUGUUAUUAGGGAAGAACAAAUGUGUAAGUAACUAUGCACGUCUUGACGGUACCUAAUCAGAAAGCCACGGCUAACUACGUG
rnacentral:rRNA from 1 species